UCUAGCUUAGCAUAUAAUAAUGCAAAAGAUUGUAAAUCUUUGUAAAGCCAUUUGACUA
rnacentral:tRNA from 1 species